AUGAAAGCUGCCAUAUCCCCAGUGGAAGGGGAUCGCACAAUCACAUUGAUUUGCAGUCUGAGAUUGAAAACAACAACCUGACUGGGGUAAAAAUGUAUCAGCUCCUCAGGAGGAGAAUCCCUCUUGACCACAUUUGGAAUCUACUGUAGCACGUGGUGUAGCAGUCCCUCCUCGUCCCACUUAUGGAAUAUACAUGAUGCUGUUGGAUGGUUCUUUCUUUAUAUCUGUGUUGUGAAAAGCAAAGAGGAGAGGCUUGAAAAGGCUUGCCUUCCUCCAGGAACACUAUCUGAUUUGGGAGCAUUCUUGGAGGUUAAGAUUGGUGACUAUCAAGAAAGCAAAUACUUCAUGCAAGGCCUGGUGCCAGAGUGUCUGUUUUUUUUCCCACACCAACAUGAGGCUGUCGGUGGGGGGAGAGAGGUUUCCCCCAAGCGCUAUAAACUGGGGGAGCAGAGGCUGGGGUGCGCAUUUGCUGUAUUGACAAGGGAGGUUUGAUGUGUGUGAGAGAUGACAGCACCGCGGGGGCAGAGAAGGACUCAUCCCAGUCACGAGACUUGCCCCUGGGGGGCACAGCAAUGUGAGUCCAGGGUUUGAGAAGACUGCAGGAUGAUCGAGUGGGGUGCAGUGAAGCUUUGAGUGCUAUUUGACGCCUGUACCUCUGUGACAUGUGACUCAAAUGAGAACACGGUGAUGUGCUACACGCCACCUUUGGUAAGUGACAUUUGACACUUGUCUGUGCCCUAAGGGUGGCAGGGUCAUCCCUAGCAGGGCCUGAAUAUAAGCAACUGUCCCAGGCACAGCACUUUGGGGGCCCCAUAGAGAUGGAUGGAACGGAUGGGGCGACUCCUCAGUGCCACCGCCGGCCUCUCAUCUGGAUGCUCACUCCAUUCCCAGCCACUGCCGCUGUGGCAUGCAGAAUCGGCUCUGCGCAGGGGAAGGGGCUAAUUUGCCCAAGGCCCUGCAGCAGUGGCAUACUGUGGGUCUCCGGGGCCUGGGGAACCUGCCCAGGGUGUUGCUGUCCUUGCUUCUAUGCAUGGACAAGACGCUUUCUGUGGUGGUUUUGACAGUGGGGGAGGAGUGGGGGGGGGGAGUGGCGCCCCACUCACACCUGCCAAUUGAACCCCUUCACAUGCAUGCCGGAGUGGCUGCACCACCCGCUGCCAUUGGUAUGCUACUGCCCUGCACCCUGAUAGGGUCAUCUCUGGUUGUGGGGGAUGCAUUGUUUCGUUCAAAUUUACUGUAAAUGGGGCUGGUGGAAUUUUAUGGGUGUGAAGGAAGGUACACAAGGUGCACAGGAGGCAAUACAAAUUUUGAUGCUCUUUCUAUCCUCCCUCCCUCCUGUUUCUAGAUCUCCUUCUACUGCUAUCCACAGGCUGAUUGAUCCCUGUUGGUGUGACAAGAGGCAAAAAGAGAAAGGAAGAAAGAGAAGAUGAAGAGGAUGACGACACUUCCUUCAGGAUUCUCUUAACAACUGAACUAUUAUGCAUUAUAAUUAUAGUUGACUUUCAUCCUGACGUAUAUAGACUUAUAUAUAAUAACAGGUAAUACUAAUAAUAGGAGUCAAUAAUACUAAUAAGUCCAAUAGUAAUAUAUUAAUAAGAGUUGGUAGUAAUAGUAAUAUUAAUAAUGAUUUAUUAAUGGUCAAUAAAUAUUGUAACAGUUCAAUUCCAUAUCACAGCAUUUCAAAGCAGGUAGAUCUGCCUUAUCACCCUGCACACAUCACACACAUCCUGGGCCUCUACCAUAUAUAUAUAGCCAAUGCAUGAUAUAGACUUAUGUCAUAUAGACUUAUAAUUACAUUUCUAUUCCUUACGAUGAAAAAGCAGAUACUGAGCAUAAGACAGGCGAUUAUGCACCCUCUCUGCCUCUUUCCCCAUCGUGGGGGGGCAGGAAAUGCCCACCUCCUGUUUCAAGCUCCUCCCUAGGUCCCUCUAUUUCCAUGGAGAAGAGAUAUUUACCCUUCUGCUUUACAUGCUACCCAUACUGAACUUGUAUUACUUCCUCCUCCUAGUUGCUAGCCACAAAUACUGAUGAGGCUUCUCUUUUGUGUAAUACUUGAAUUGUGGAAGCUUUCUUCGCAGGCUUUGGCCUGAGCAUCAGCUCAAAUAUGGUAAGAGUUAGACAAGUUCUGCAGAUCCAUUUCAUAUUAUUCUAGCUGUCCUAGUUGCUGGCCCUGUUUGCUAAUGAGUGUAUUAUUGAAUUGUAAUUAGAGGAUUGUUGCUGGCCUCAAAUGCAGAAGCUUUCUUUUUGAUUGCUAGCCAAGACCUCUGGCAAAUUCUGUCCUGGGGUAGCAGGCCCAGGACUGUGGGCUCUGUCACAACCCAAGGGUGUGAUUUUUGUUUUGUGUGCUUCGGCACUGCUAAAUUUUUUCCGCCAAAUUGCAGCUUCUUUGCACGGUGAAGUUUUCCGCUGCAGAGGAGAACCCUGGUGCAAAAGAAUUCCCGCCACUAGUAGCUUUCUUUGCAGGGUGCAUUUCUUCUUUGCAGCACAGAAAUGCACUUUGCAAGGAGUUCCCGCCAUUCGUAUUCAAAUUCGUGCCCCACUAUUGGAUAGUUCUAAAUUAUUCCUACGUGGCGGCUAGCGAUUGGCUUGCUAGCCGUAUAAAAAGCUUGAGUGGUUUCCGCCCAAGUUGGAGGACUCCACGAACACCAGGAGAAGGAGACUUCACGCUGUGUGAAGAUCUCUAAGCGCUGCGGAUCCUUACAGACCCAACAUAUUUCAAGCAGGCAACAGGGGUCUGAUCAGCCUCUAGCCUCUCCCCGUCACCGAGCACAAUCCUCGACGUAUCCCUCUUCCCUGCGCGCAAAAAGGAUUCACGGAGCCUAGCAAACUUCGUGUGAGUCUAUUCAGAGCUCUUUGUUUCGCGUACUUGCUUCGGUUGACACGACGGGCUCGCGGUUUAGAUGGGCUAGAAGAGUGUUCACGGGAAGAAACUCUAGUCCGCCUCUCUUCUUUUCUAUAUGCAACUGUAAUUCAAGCAAGUUUUCCUGCCUUCACCGCAACCAUCUUUGGUGUAAGUAAAACAAUCUUUAAAUCAACCAUUACGCCUCCGUAACUAAUUCUAGCUCGCCCCCGGUCUCCUCCGGCCCCGCGUGCCCGGGCUGCUGGCCACAGCCCGCGUGCGCAAAGACGGGCCCAGCUCGCCCCCGGCCCGCACAGGCUCUUCUCCCCACUUGCCCACCUCUGCACCUCUCUGUUGCACCCUUGUAAGUUUUGAAUUGUUGGUGGCCACAUAGGAAGCUGUGCUCCUGAGCUAUGACCACUGGGGGAAAGGUUCUUGCUGGAGAAAACCCUCCCUGCCUUUCAUAGUCUUCUCGCCUUCCUUCUGGUUAGCUAUGACCACUUCAGUGGCAGAAGCUGAGGCUUUUUCACUUACUUUGACCUGAGCAUCAGCUCGAUUUGCACAAGUUCUGCAGGCCCACUUCAUAUAGUCUUCUCGCUCUUCUCCUGGUUACUGAUCAUGUCCUGCAUCAACACAUUCAUUGCUGCAGAGGGCUUGGGGUGCAGGUCAGGCCUUCCACUAAGGAAGCUGAGGCCUGAGUUUCUUUUCUGAAUUGCGGAGGCCUUCUUCUUGGUUGCUGAGCAAGACCUUCGCGGUCUGGGUAGUAGGGCCAGGCCUGCAGGCUCCUCUCCCCACACGCCCACCUCUGCCUUACAUCUCUCCAUUGCAUCCUAGUAACUUUUGAAUCAUUGCUGGCAACAAAGAAAGCUAAGCUGAGCUUUCUUCACUGGCUUUGGUCCGAGCAUCAGCUUGAUUUGCACAAGUUGUGUAGGCCCAUUUUAUAGUCUUCUUGCCCUCCUCCUGGUUACUGGCCAUAUCCCAGCACAUUCGGACUGGGGUACAAGUCUUCUGACACCCACCCACCACUCUGUUUCCUUGAGGUUUCUGUGUUCUUGAAUUUCUUCUCCGACUUGUGGAAGGAAGGAAGAUUUUCAAUAAAUAAGGAUAAUGGAAAGUAGAAAGCCCCUGCCCCACCUGGGGGAGUGCCCUUCCUCCCUACUUAAGCUUUGUGGCCAGCAAAGAUUCCAAAGUUACAAUGCAACGGAGAGUAGCAUGGCCCAAUUCAACCAGCCAGCUGAGUCAGGCCAUUCAUCUCCACCUGAGGGACUCCUAGGGGACUGUGCAUGGUGGCCCCCACCUGAGGGGGCCCCUUUGGGACCAUGCCUGGGGACUCCCCUUGACCCAGCCAUCUUCCUGCUGGGACAUGUUCAAUAACCAGGAAGAGGGUGCAGGAUGCUUCCCUCCCUCCCUCCCUCCAUCUCCCCCACCCUACCCAGCCAUGGGCUGACUCAGCCAGCCACUUGAGUCAGGCCAUACAUCUCCACCUGAGAGGGCCCUUAGGGGACUGUGCUUGGGGGCCCACACCUAAGGGGGCCUCUCCUUCCCUAACUAAGCUUUGUGGGUGGGUUUGUUUAGUCUUCUUUGUUCCAAGAAAAUGCUGGCUGCACACUAGCACUGGCCAAUCAUUUGACCUCCCUUCAUCUGAUAACAGUCCACCCUGCAACUUUCCAGUAAUACCAUGACUCCAUGAAAGUCACAUGGUCAUCAGUAACCAGGAAGGACCAGUAACCAGUCUGGCUGCCUGCCUGCCUGCCUCCCUCUCGCCCUCCCACCAUGUAGCACUCCAUCCAUCCAUAUCAUAUCAAGGGAUUACUCAAGGAACUAUGGGAGCAUAUUGUGAAUUGGUGUUUUAUCCUAUUGUAGUGUGUUUUCUGGCAAUGCCUGUACUAUAAAAAAAUGUAUUUACUAGUAGACUACCAAUGGCAUUAUUGAGUAAAA